AUAGGAAGAUAAAAGGCAUCUUUUAUCUUUUAAAAGACCUAGUAAUAGGUAUGCUUUAGGAGGGGCUUGCGCCAUAUUAGUUAGUUGGUAGGGUAAUGGCCUACCAAGACGAUGAUGUGUAGCUGGACUGAGAGGUUGAACAGCCACAUUGGGACUGAGACACGGCCCAAACUCCUACGGGAGGCAGCAGUAGGGAAUUUUCGGCAAUGGAGGAAACUCUGACCGAGCAACGCCGCGUGAAUGACGAAGUACUUCGGUAUGUAAAGUUCUUUUAUCAAGGAAGAAAAGCAAAUGGCGAACCAUUUGUUUGCCGGUACUUGAUGAAUAAGCCCCGGCUAAUUAUGUGCCAGCAGCCGCGGUAAGACAUAAGGGGCAAGUGUUAUCCGGAAUUAUUGGGCGUAAAGGGUGCGUAGGCGGUCUAGUAAGUCAGUGGUGUAAUGGCAACGCUUAACGUUGUCCGGCUAUUGAAACUGCUAAACUUGAGUUAGAUAGAGGCGAGUGGAAUUCCAUGUGUAGCGGUAAAAUGCGUAAAUAUAUGGAGGAACACCAGAGCCGUAGGCGGCUCGCUGGGUCUUAACUGACGCUGAGGCACGAAAGCGUGGGGAGCAAACAGGAUUAGAUACCCUGGUAGUCACACGCCGUAAACGAUGAGUACUAAGUGUCGGGUUAAACCGGUACUGAAGUUAACACAUUAAGUACUCCGCCUGAGUAGUACGUACGCAAGUAUGAAACUUAAAGGAAUUGACGGGACUCCGCACAAGCGGUGGAUCAUGUUGUUUAAUUCGAAGAUACCCGAAAAACCUUACCAGGUCUUGACAUGUUUUUGCAAAAUGAUAGUAAUAUCGUGGAGGUUACCAGAAACACAGGUGGUGCAUGGUUGUCGUCAGCUCGUGUCGUGAGAUGUUAGGUUAAGUCCUAAAACGAGCGAAACCCUUAUCGUUAGUUGCCAGCACGUUAUGGUGGGGACUUUAACGAGACUGCCAAUGAUAAAUUGGAGGAAGGUGAGGAUCACGUCAAAUCAGCAUGCCCCUUAUGACCUGGGCUACAAACGUGAUACAAUGGCUGUUACAAAGGGUAGCUGAAACGCAAGUUCUUGGCCAAUCCCCAAAAACAGUCCCAGUCCGGAUUGAAGUCUGCAACUCGACUUCAUGAAGUUGGAAUCGCUAGUAAUCGCGAAUCAGCAUGUCGCGGUGAAUACGUUCU
rnacentral:rRNA from 1 species